GUAGGCAAGAGCUCCGUGGUACAGCUUCCGCCUUAUAUGCGGAAAGACCUGGGUUCGAUUCCCUUUGGCUUCA
rnacentral:tRNA from 1 species